rnacentral:misc_RNA from 1 species
GAUGAAGAACGUAGCGAAAUGCGAUACGUAAUGUGAAUUGCAGAAUUCAGUGAAUCAUCGAGUCUUUGAACGCACAUUGCGCCCCCUGGUAUUCCGGGGGGCAUGCCUGUCCGAGCGUCAUUGCUGCCCUCAAGCACGGCUUGUGUGUUGGGCCUCCGUCCUCCUCCCGGGGGACGGGCCCGAAAGGCAGCGGCGGCACCGCGUCCGGUUCUCGAGCGUAUGGGGCUUCGUCACCCGCUCUUGUAGGCCCGGCCGGCGCUUGCCGACACAUCAAUCUUUUUUCCAGGUUGACCUCGGAUCAGGUAGGGAUACCCGCUGAACUUAAGCAUAUCAAUAAGCGGAGGA